GAAAUGCCCUGUGGGGACAAGGACGUCUGUCAUCCUCUGCUCCUGCUCACAGUGACACUGAUCUAGUAACACCCCCGUCCUGGCCUGACCCUGCCAUGGGCACCAGGCUCCUCUGCUGGGUGGUCCUGGGUUUCCUAGGGAUAGAUCACACAGGUGCUGGAGUCUCCCAGUCCCCAAGGUACAAAGUCACAAAGAGGGGACAGGAUGUAGCUCUCAGGUGUGAUCCAAUUUCGGGUCAUGAAGCCCUCUAUUGGUACCAACAGGCCCCGGGACAGGGCCCAGAGCUUCUGACUUACUUCAAUUACAAAGCUCAACCAGACAAAUCAGGGCUGCCCAAUGAUCGGUUCUCUGCAGAGAGGCCUGAGGGAUCCUUCUCCACUCUGACGAUCCAGCGAACAGAGCAGCGAGACUCGGCCGUGUAUCUCUGUGCCAGCAGCUUAGCCACAGCAUGGCACGGUCGCCUCCUUCCUGUUCACAAACCUCAUCCUUCUUUCUCUUUGCAGCUCCAAGAGACCGUUACUUUUUGUCUCUCUUUGCUCCUCACUUUUCAUGGGAAAGAGGUAGAUUUGGACAUCGGCUGUCCUUUGGGUAGAAAGAGACCACAGAUUCAUUUCUGAAACACAGUGACUGCAAAUGUAGGUGGUGAAAACAAUCACGGCCCACUGCACUCUAGGAGUCCUCGGAACCAGCUCACUUCUUCAAGCAAGGAGUGGGUGUCUCAGCCUAGGCCUUCAGGGCAGACAUGCAUCUUCUAUACGUUUUGGAGGCUGCAGUGCUGCCCACACCCAUGAGGUUAUCAAGGGAGGGAAACAUGCCUCUUCUCCUGCAUAUGUUGAGGCAUCUGGAAGGUCUGAGGCUACAUACCCAGGAAAGUCUUUCUUUCGAAGCUCUUCUAUCCCGGUCACCAUGGAAGUUUUCUGCAACAAAAUAUUGAACCUCUCUUCCUGUUUGAAGUAAAGGUCUUUGCAACUUUUAUGGUCCUUACUUGAUAAAUACAAUCAUGAUAACAACAAGACUUCAUUUAUUUGCCUACUUUAAGCCACGUAUAUCCUUUAUUUUAUUUCCAUUUGCCAUUGCUGAUGUCCUGAUAGACAGAAGUAUGCCUUCACCACUGCUGCCAGUUCACCUUGAUUCCCUCAGGAAAUCUGAUUUUUAGACUCUGAGUGUUUUCAUUGUUGUCCAACUCAUUUGAUUUGAAAUAAUUUUCCUGAGGCCUUUAAUUCAAGAAGUGUUUUAUUUAUAAUAUUGAAUUUAUUCCUUUUUAUUUUAUUUUUCAUAAUAUAUAGUGUUAUAUAGUAUAUAGAUCUGGGAUUCUACAAGUUUGUAAGUCGUACUGAAAACAUCACCUUGGCUGAGAUUCCACUGGACACCAAGUACGUGUUCUCUGGAGGGCAAAAAAAUAAUGAUAAAAAUUUCUAAAAUACCUAAAUAAACAGACUACUGCAGGAAAAUGUUAGGAGAUGCACCAAACUGUGCCGUUAGACCUGAAGAUAAUCUACCAGUAGAAUUAUCGAAAAGAGACUAUAAAUAAGUCUCCAGUAAGUAUUUGUGGGCAUAGAGCAGUGUCUGAGUCUUCUCAGGCUAGAUAAGGAAGGAAUUCAGUUAUUAUCAUGACUUUGCCUUGGAUGAAAAUGCAUGAACUCCUCAAUUUAUUUUCUUGUAAAAUAUUACAGAAUGAUAUUGAGCAAACAUUUCAUUUUUCUCCAACUGUAUCCCUCUUUAGCACUUACAAGUAAAGCGGACACCUAGAGGCACGAUUUCUGUAGUUGGGAUCCCUUGACUUCAGGACUAAAGUCCAUAGCUGGGCUUUAUAGGGACUGCAAACCCCACGUGCAGGGAACCCCGUGUGUCUGUGCUGUGCCCAACUCCCUCUGUGAGGCUGCCAAAGGGGGAGUGCUGGGUCUCCCAGAACCCAGCUCACAAAGAGGGUAGCAGUCUGCUUGCUGGGCAAAAAAAUAAAUUCACCUAUUGGCCAAUAUGUGGAAAGUCAAAAACAAAGGAAAUGCUCGAUGGUGAGACUGGCAGAUGCCCAAUUUCCCAAGUUAUGAAAUGUAUAACAGCUCAUGGUUCUCAGAAUUUCAACAGCUCAUUAAGAUAUUUUUAGAAAGUUUUUGUUUGUCUACAGCUGUCCUUGAUAUUGAUCCUCACUUGUUUUCCAGCCUACUGGUCACUUGAGGUUAUUUUGUUGCCAAAUUUCAGUGUUGCCUAUUUCAGUCACUGAGCACUUCUCACAUUCUCCAUAUCUUACACAGAUAGGUGUGUUCCUGUCUUUAAGUAUUUUUAGAUUGGGCUGUGCAGAAUACAAGCAUACAUUUGUAUAUGACUCCCACCUUUUAUGCAAUUUAGCUGUUUAAUUUUUAGUAAUAUUUUUUAUUAAGGUAUAAUUAAUAGAGAGUAAAACACAAAUAUUAAUACAAGGACAUCCUGGUACAUUUUGACAAAUGCGUAUGCCAGUGCAAUAAUAACUGAAAUUAUUAUAAAAAAAUUUCCUGGCCAGGCGUGGUGGCUCAUUCCUGUAAUCCCAGCACUUUGGGAGGCUGAGGC